GCCGAGGUGGUGGAAUUGGUAGACACGCCAUCUUGAGGGGGUGGUGGCCUAUGGCCGUGCGGGUUCAAGUCCCGCUCUCGGCACCA
rnacentral:tRNA from 1 species